rnacentral:rRNA from 1 species
GACGAAGGACCCAAGCGUUAUCCGGAUUCAUUGGGUUUAAAGGGUGCGUAGGUGGAUUGAUAAGUCAGUGGUGAAAUCCUGCAGCUUAACUGCAGAACUGCCAUUGAUACUGUUGAUCUUGAAUAUGUUUGAUGUGGGCGGAAUAUGACAUGUAGCGGUGAAAUGCUUAGAUAUGUCAUAGAACACCGAUUGCGAAGGCAGCUCACAAAGCCAUUAUUGACACUGAGGCACGAAAAGUGUGGGGAUCAAACAGG